UUUUUUGUGUUCGAUCUUUUAGGAGUUCGAACCCAGAAUACCGGCUAUUUUGAGAACUCAGGCUGUCAAAUGGAGAAUAAAGUUUGCUUAAGUAUUAACUCUAAGCAAGCACCCCCAACAUCCUCAAAAUUAUUUACAGGACCAGAAAGCGCCAACAUGUUCCAUUUUGUAUGGAGAGUGGAUUGAUUGAUUGCUAUUAAGGAUAGAUGAUACUUAUAUUUCAACUUGGAUCAACUCACCCCAAUUCAUCCAGUGAUUUGAAGAUUUUGAAGUGACGAAUGCGAAUAGUUGCAUCCCGGGCUUUUUCUACCAUAGCAAAAGUAUGACAUUUUGUGCGGCUUUAAAUUUGACACUUGAUGAAGAAAUGUCUGCUGACUCCAAUGUCGUUUUAAUGGGCGAAUAGGUUGAUGAGUAUCAGGUAGCAUACAAGGACUUUUGAAGAAGUAUGGUCCCGAUGGAGUUCUGGAAACUCAUAAUAUUGAGAUUUAUUGGAAUUGAAGUUAGUGCAGCUUACUAUGGUCUCAAGCCUACGAGUUACAUGACUUUUAACUUCUCUAUGCAGAAAUUUCGUUACAAAAAAGUUUCAACUCCACAGUUGUUGAAGCAUGUGGAUAUGAGAACAUAACGUGUGUGGAAUGGAAAGGAUUCGAACAAGCGAGGCGAUCACAACUUGGAGAAAGAAAUACGGCUGCAAUACAAUGUUAUUUUUCAAAAAUGUAAGCACGACACUUGGGUUUUUGUUUCAGUAUGGAUGUAGAAGAUGUGUCUCGCUUAAAGAACGUGAUUUGUUCUAAUAAUAGGUGUAGACAGGUAUAUAGGGAGUUUGGUAAUGUUGUCACAUUUGCUACCACUUAUCUCACUAAUAAACAAGACAUACCUUCCGCACC